CCACAUCAACAGGACGCACUGAUGGAUGAACACGUAUUGUUCCUGCGGGACGUGAACGCAACAUCGGGUUAAAUGUCCGGUGUCACACGAGCGACGCAGACCAUGACUCAGCGAAUCCUCACCUCAGUCUGGACCAUGGACAGACGGUGUGACCUCAUCUCGGAAACCAUCCCCAGGAUGUCUGCGAACUCGUGUUCUCUGAUGUGCUGCAUGAGACGAUCCAGAGCGAUGAAGGUCCCGGUCCUGCCCACUCCAGCACUGACACACACACACACACACACACACACACACAAUCAGACUCAAUUACCGUAACAACCACAACCAGACCAGAAUAUACGACAUAAUGGACAUGACAUCAUCAGUCUAAUUGAGCUUUUAUUGUUGUGAUUUCCUGCUCGGUGACUUUAGAGUCUUUUAGACGAGACACUUCAGAUUCUGUCCGACAAAAACAAGGAGCCGCUUCAUUUCCUGUUCACGAAACCACAUUUGUGACACUUCCGAUCAUUUUCACCAAAUGUCUCCGAUUUUUCAGACUGAACCAUGAAGAUUUUUACAGUGCAGAAUGAAAUUGAAUGAGUGGGCGUGGCCUGACCUGCAGUGGACAAUGAUCGGGUCUUUGGUCCUAUUCGCUUGUUGACGGACGAUAUGGACAAACUGCAGGAUGCUCUCGAUGGCGUUCACCGUGGGCACACCGUGAUCCGGCCACGAGGUGUAGUUCAGGUGGAGGACGUCCUGACUCUCAUCAGCCUGUAGGAGGCGACAGAGACAUUAUGUAAUGAAUGAGAGGUUCUUUAGUCUUAUAUUUGACUUUGAACUCAUUUUUUUUUGUCAGGGUAUUAAGGUGUCAAAAACGUCGUAAACAAGUCAGUGUUGUAAGGUUUCAAAAACAUCGUAAACAAGUCAGUGUAGUAAGGCGUCAAAUAUCGUAAAAAUGUCAGUGUAGUAAGGCGUCAAAUAUCGUAAACAUGUCAGUGUAGUAAGGCGUCAAAUAUCGUAAAAAUGUCAGUGUAGU